rnacentral:rRNA from 1 species
AUUGAACGCUGGCGGCAGGCCUAACACAUGCAAGUCGAACGAGUGGCGGACGGGUGAGUAAUGUCUGGGAAUCUGCCUGAUAGAGGGGGAUAACUACUGGAAACGGUAGCUAAUACCGCAUACCAUCAGAUGUACCCAUAUGGGAUUAGCUUGUUGGUGGGGUAACGGCUCACCAAGGCGACGAUCCCUAGCUGGUCUGAGAGGAUGACCAGCCACACGGGAACUGAGACACGGUCCAGACUCCUAAGGGAGGCAGCAGUGGGGAAUAUUGCACAAUGGGCGCAAGCCUGAUGCAGCCAUGCCGCGUGUAUGAAGAAGGCCUUAGGGUUGUAAAGUACUUUCAGCGGGGAGGCGUUACCCGCAGAAGAAGAACCGGCUAACUCCGUGCCAGCAGCCGCGGUAAUUC